rnacentral:rRNA from 1 species
UUAAAAUGUAAUUGGUUUAUUAGAGUAGUAAUAGUUAUGUUCUUGAAACUUAAAAAAUUUGGCGGUAUUUUAGUCUAAUCAGAGGAACCUGUUCCGUAAUCGAUAAUCCACGUUGGACCUUACUUAAGUUUGUUUAGUUUAUAUAUCGUCGUUAUGAAAAACUUUUUUAGGAAAAUAGUUUUUAAAAAUUAGAAUUAUAAUUUAUAUCAGAUCAAGGUGUAGCUUAUGCUUAAGUGGAAAUGGGUUACAAUAAAUUUAUUUAUACGGAAUUUUUAUUGAAAAAUAAGAAUGAAGGUGGAUUUGAAAGUAAAUUUUUAUAGAUAGAAAAAUUGAAAUUAGCUCUAAAGUAUGUAC